CAUGACUAGAUGAUACCUGAGCUAUACUUGUUAUAAAAUAUUUUGACUGGGUAAUAUGCCACACUCCAACAGACCCUUUUCAUGUGUGUGUGUGGUGUGGUUGUGUCUGUAUGUGAGUGUGUGUGUGUGUGUGUGUGUGUGUGGUGUGGUUGUGUCUGUAUGUGUGUGUGUGUGUGUGUGGUGUGGUUGUGUCUGUAUGUGAGUGUGUAUGUGUGUGUGAGUGUGGUGUGGUUGUGUCUGUAUGUGAGUGUGUAUGUGUGUGUGUGGUGUGGUUGUGUCUGUAUGUGAGUGUGUGUGUGUGUGGUGUGGUUGUGUCUGUAUGUGAGUGUGUAUGUGUGUGUGUGGUGUGGUUGUGUCUGUAUGUGAGUGUGUAUGUGUGUGUGUGAGUGUGGUGUGGUUGUGUCUGUGAGUGUGUGUGUGUGUGAGUGUGGUGUGGUUGUGUCUGUAUGUGAGUAUGUGUGUGUGAGUGUGGUGUGGUUGUGUCUGUAUGUGAGUGUGUAUGUGUGUGUGUGAGUGUGGUGUGGUUGUGUCUGUAUGUGAGUGUGUAUGUGUGGUGUGGUUGUGUCUGUAUGUGAGUGUGUGUGUGUGUGAGUGUGGUGUGGUUGUGUCUGUAUGUGAGUGUGUGUGUGUGUGUGUGGUGUGGUUGUGUCUGUAUGUGAGUGUGUGUGUGUGUGUGUGAGUGUGGUGUGGUUGGGUGUGUGUGUGUGUGUGGUUAGGGCUUGGGUUCUAGCUUCCCCUCAUUAGUUCCAUCUCUCCUAAGACCCUCUUUUCCUCACCCCUGGAGGCUGCCCCUUUAGUGCCCUUU
rnacentral:lncRNA from 1 species